rnacentral:rRNA from 1 species
CCUACGGGAGGCUGCAGUAGGGAAUCUUCCACAAUGGGCGAAAGCCUGAUGGAGCAACGCCGCGUGGGUGAAGAAGGUCUUCGGAUCGUAAAACCCUGUUGUUAGAGAAGCAAGUGCGUGAGAGUAACUGUUCACGUUUCGACGGUAUCUAACCAGAACGCCACGGCUAACUACGUGCCAGCAGCCGCGGUAAUACGUAGGUGGCAAGCGUUAUCCGGAUUGAUUGGGCGUAAAGGGAACGCAGGCGGUCUUUUAAGUCUGAUGUGAAAGCCUUCGGCUUAACCGGAGUAGUGCAUUGGAAACUGGGAGACUUGAGUGCAGAAGAGGAGAGUGGAACUCCAUGUGUAGCGGUGAAAUGCGUAGAUAUAUGGAAGAACACCAGUGGCGAAAGCGGCUCUCUGGUCUGUAACUGACGCUGAGGUUCGAAAGCGUGGGUAGCAAACAGGAUUAGAUACCCUGGUAGUC